AUGAUCCCUAUAGGGCGCGGUCAGCGAGAGUUCAUUAUUGGGGACAGACAGACUGGCAAAACAGCAGUAGCCACAGAUACAAUUCUCAAUCAAAAAGGGCAAGGUGUAAUAUGUGUUUAUGUAGCUAUCGGUCAAAGAGUAUCCUCCGUAGCUCAAGUAGUAACUACUUUCCAUGAGGAGGGGGCCAUGGAAUACACUAUUGUAGUAGCUGAAAUGGCGGAUUCACCUGCUACAUUACAAUACCUCGCUCCUUAUACGGGAGCAGCCCUGGCUGAGUAUUUUAUGUACCGCGAACGGCAUACUUUAAUAAUUUAUGAUGAUCUCUCCAAACAGGCACAAGCUUAUCGCCAAAUGUCCCUUCUAUUGAGAAGACCUCCCGGCCGUGAGGCUUAUCCAGGGGAUGUUUUUUAUUUGCAUUCACGCCUUUUAGGAAGAGCCGCUAAAUUAAAUUCUCUUUUAGGCGAAGGAAGUACGACCGCUUUACCAAUAGUUGAGACUCAAUCUGGAGAUGUUUCCGCCUAUAUUCCUACUAAUGUAAGCUCCAUUACAGAUGGACAAAUAUUCUUAUCUGCGGAUCUAUUCCAUGCCAGAAUUCGACCCGCUAUUAAUGUGAGUAUUUCUGUUUCCAGAGUAGGAUCCGCGGCUCAAAUUAAAGCCAUGAAACAAGUAGCUGGCAAAUCCAAAUUGGAACUAGCUCAAUUCGUAGAGUGA
rnacentral:rRNA from 1 species